UACGAAGGGGGCUAGCGUUGUUCGGAUUUACUGGGCGUAAAGCGCACGUAGGCGGAUCGAUCAGUCAGGGGUGAAAUCCUAGGGCUCAACCCUGGAACUGCCUUUGAUACUGUCGAUCUGGAGUAUGGAAGAGGUGAGUGGAAUUCCGAGUGUAGAGGUGAAAUUCGUAGAUAUUCGGAGGAACACCAGUGGCGAAGGCGGCUCACUGGUCCAUUACUGACGCUGAGGUGCGAAAGCGUGGGGAGCAAACAGG
rnacentral:rRNA from 1 species